rnacentral:rRNA from 1 species
CCUACGGGAGGCAGCAGUGGGGAAUAUUGGACAAUGGGCGAAAGCCUGAUCCAGCCAUGCCGCGUGUGUGAAGAAGGCCUUCGGGUUGUAAAGCACUUUCAGUGGGGAAGAAAGCCUUGGGGCUAAUACCCUCGAGGAAGGACAUCACCCACAGAAGAAGCACCGGCUAACUCCGUGCCAGCAGCCGCGGUAAUACGGAGGGUGCGAGCGUUAAUCGGAAUUACUGGGCGUAAAGCGCGCGUAGGCGGUCUGAUAAGCCGGUUGUGAAAGCCCCGGGCUCAACCUGGGAACGGCAUCCGGAACUGUCAGGCUAGAGUGCAGGAGAGGAAGGUAGAAUUCCCGGUGUAGCGGUGAAAUGCGUAGAGAUCGGGAGGAAUACCAGUGGCGAAGGCGGCCUUCUGGACUGACACUGACGCUGAGGUGCGAAAGCGUGGGUAGCAAACAGGAUUAGAUACCCGAGGAGUC